GGGGAAGUGGGGGCAAAUAAUAAGCAGUAUUGGUUCCAGAUGCUUCUCUGGCCCAAGUAUUUGACAUACCCAUGGGCAAAUUGAAGAUGCCUUGGGCAGCAAGCAGACACUGCCAGGGGUUCUUGGUGGAAGGGAGUCACUCACCGGCAUUGUUCUGCUGCUUGGUGUUUUUGAUGUAGGCAGAGAACUUGGAAAAGAUGUCAAUGCCUGCUGUGUUGGAUUCCCGGUGUUUUGCAGCCAGUUUGGGGUACCUGAAAUGGAGGAUGCAGUGUUCUGUGAAUCACUAGACUUGGAGCUCCUUUAAGGAGCCUUUCAUUUUGAAGCCAGAAUAAUACAAGAGGCAGGCCGGAGUUAGGACGAUUGGCCUUGAAACUGAAGGAGGUAAACUUGCUCAUGUGGGAACCCAGGGCUUGGACUCAUUAGCCCCAUCAAAGUGAGAAAAUCAACUCAACCCUGGCCCUGCAAAACCCUUUGGGAGAUCUUUCUUCUCUCUUUCCCUGCUGAAGGAAACUUGGAG